rnacentral:rRNA from 1 species
GACGAACGCUGGCGGCGUGCCUAAUACAUGCAAGUCGAGCGAGCUUGCCUAGAUGAAUUUGGUGCUUGCACCAGAUGAAACUAGAUACAAGCGAGCGGCGGACGGGUGAGUAACACGUGGGUAACCUGCCCAAGAGACUGGGAUAACACCUGGAAACAGAUGCUAAUACCGGAUAACAACACUAGACGCAUGUCUAGAGUUUAAAAGAUGGUUCUGCUAUCACUCUUGGAUGGACCUGCGGUGCAUUAGCUAGUUGGUAAGGUAACGGCUUACCAAGGCAAUGAUGCAUAGCCGAGUUGAGAGACUGAUCGGCCACAUUGGGACUGAGACACGGCCCAAACUCCUACGGGAGGCAGCAGUAGGGAAUCUUCCACAAUGGACGCAAGUCUGAUGGAGCAACGCCGCGUGAGUGAAGAAGGGUUUCGGCUCGUAAAGCUCUGUUGGUAGUGAAGAAAGAUAGAGGUAGUAACUGGCCUUUAUUUGACGGUAAUUACUUAGAAAGUCACGGCUAACUACGUGCCAGCAGCCGCGGUAAUACGUAGGUGGCAAGCGUUGUCCGGAUUUAUUGGGCGUAAAGCGAGUGCAGGCGGUUCAAUAAGUCUGAUGUGAAAGCCUUCGGCUCAACCGGAGAAUUGCAUCAGAAACUGUUGAACUUGAGUGCAGAAGAGGAGAGUGGAACUCCAUGUGUAGCGGUGGAAUGCGUAGAUAUAUGGAAGAACACCAGUGGUGAAGGCGGCUCUCUGGUCUGCAACUGACGCUGAGGCUCGAAAGCAUGGGUAGCGAACAGG